rnacentral:rRNA from 1 species
UACAGGGGGGGCAAGCGUUGUUCGGAAUUACUGGGCGUAAAGGGUCUGCAGGUGGCCAACUAAGUCAGACGUGAAAUCCCUCAGCUUAACUGGGGAACUGCGUCUGAUACUGGAUGGCUUGAGUGUGGGAGAGGAAUGCGGAAUUCCAGGUGUAGCGGUGAAAUGCGUAGAUAUCUGGAGGAACACCGGUGGCGAAGGCGGCAUUCUGGACCAUAACUGACACUGAGAGACGAAAGCCAGGGGAGCAAACGGG